AUGGUCCCCUCUGGGUUCCAUAGACCCUCAUCAUACCCCUCCUCCUUCACCAGCAGCACCUCUGGACCCUCCUCCUCCUGGAAGAGACGGGUGAUACAGAUUACACAGACAUACACUCCCUCAGGAAUGUUUCCACCUCUGAAUAUUCCCCAAAAUGUGCCACCCUAGCCAGGAUCAAGGCAAAGAUGACCAGAGCAGUACAGAGAGAUCGAAACCCUGCUCCAGAGCGCUCAGGAUCUCCGACUGUGGCAAAGGUUCACCUUCCAACAGGACAAUGACCCUACGCACAAAGCCAAUACAAUGCAGGAGUGGCUUUGGGACAAGGGUCUGAAUAUUUAUGUAAAUGUGAUAUUUCAGUUUAGUAUUUUUUAUAAAUUAGCAAACAUUUCUAAAAACCUGUUAUUGCUUUGUCAUUCUGGGGUAUUGUGUGUAGCUUGAUGUGGGAAAACCUAUUUAAUCAAUUUUAGAAUAAGGCUGUAACCUAACAAUGUGGAAAAAGUCAACGGGUUUGAAUACUUUCCGAAGGCACUGUAUAUAGGAUACAUAUGGUGCAUAGGAAGUAAUGACAAGAGAAUCAUUGAAGAUGCACAUGGGGUAAUAAUGGAAAUUUUAAGUGUGUUUGGGGCUAGUACUAAGUGAAUGUGGAUGUGAAAGUUGUGUGAUUGUAAAAUAUGACAUUAAGCUGAUUGAAAUGUGGAUAAUAAAUGGAUUGAAAUGUAGCUAUAACGUACUGAGUCUGGGGACUAGCUCCAGUGUGACUUUGGAGUGAAUGUGAGCAGAGUUUUCUAGUUCUGUGUUAGAGUUUUUCAAUCUAGGGGUUCCAUCCAUCACCGCCCAUCGUAGUCUGGGACUACAAGUGUAUAGGAAGUAGUGGCAAGAGAACCAUUGAAGAUACAUAUGGUGCAUAGGAUGUAACAAUAGAAAAGUCUAAGUGGUCUGAGAACCACUGAUAAUAGCACAAGGUCUUAUUGUAGGAAUUUAUAAUCGUUGAAGAUGCACGUGUUGUGAAUGUGAAUACCUAAGUAUAGUUGUAUAAGGAAAAUAAUGAAUACCCCAACCAGUUUUGUGUGAGCUGAAUUUUCAUAUCUAUAACGUUAUCUAGGGGUUCGGUCCACCACUGCCCAUCGAUCUACAGUUAGUGAACACUGACAGGAGAUGCCAAUAAAAUAUUUGAGAGGGUAACAGCCCCCGGACACUGAUUUCCUCGAUAUGAAAGAUAUGCGUACCUCUCGGGCUGCUGUGGUGUGGACAUGAAAAACUAAAGAUUUAUAACUUUAUAUAGGGGUUCUGUAUGGAGAUAGAGUAUUAUUCCCGAAUAUGCUUUUAAAUAGAACAGAGGGAAUAUGUAAACCCUUGUAUGAAUAGAACACUGGUGUAGGGGAGGAAUUUGUGAUGUAACACAAAUGUAUAAUGGGUUACCAGAGAUCUGACGAAGUAACAAUAGAAAAAAAUAUAUAUACAACUUGCACACCCACACGUAGACGUAUUCUGAGAAAUGUUCAGUGGUCCCUUUAUGGAUCAUUUGAGAAAGAUAAGGUUAAAGCAUUGUACGGGAUUUGACUUACCCCUAACCAAUAAAAAUAUAAACAGUUUUCUUCCACCCUGGUAAUACAUUUUGAAAUAAACCCCAUGCCCUGUUAAAUAGAGCCAAUGGUGUUAAACGGUUGAGUAGAUGAAUACAGAACAUGCUAGGUAAAGACUUAACCUGUCUAGGAACGGGGUUCCACCUCGCCAACAGCCAAUGAAAUUGCAGGGCGCCAAAUUCAAUCAACAGAAAUCUCAUAAUUCAAAUUUCUCAAUCAUACAAGAAUUAGACACCAUUUUAAAGAUAAAAUUCUCGUUAAUCCAACCGCAGUGUCCGAUUUAAAAAAAGCUUUUUCGGCGAAAGCAUACCAUAUCAUUAUAUUAGGUCAGCAACUAGUCACAGAAAGCCUACAGCGAUUUUCCAACCAAAGAGAGGAGUCACAAAAAACAGAAAUAGAGAAAAUUAAUCACUAACCUUUGAUAUUCUUCAUCAGAUGACACUCCCGGGACAACAUGUUACACAAUACAUGUAUGUUUUGUUCGAUCAAGUUCAUAUAUAUAUCCAAAAACCUCAGUUUACAUUUGACUUUGCCUCAAAAACAUCCCGUGAAUUUGCACAGAGCCACAUCAAUUUACAGAAAUACUCAUAAUAAACAUUGAUAAAAGAUACAAGUGUUAUUCACAGAAUUAAAGAUAUACACUGCUCAAAAAAAUAAAGGGAACACUUAAACAAAACAAUGUAACUCCAAGUCAAUCACACUUCUGUGAAAUCAAACUGUCCACUUAGGAAGCAACACUGAUUGACAAUACAUUUCACAUGCUGUUGUGCAAAUGGAAUAGACAACAGGUGGAAAUUAUAGGCAAUUAGCAAGACACCCCCAAUAAAGGAGUGGUUCUGCAGGUGGUGACCACAGACCACUUCUCAGUUCCUAUGCUACCUGGCUGAUGUUUUGGUCACUUUUGAAUUCUGGCGGUGCUUUCACUCUAGUGGUAGCAUGAGACGGAGUCUACAACCCACACAAGUGGCUCAGGUAGUGCAGCUCAUCCAGGAUGGCACAUCAAUGUGAGAUGUGUCAAGAAAGUUUGCUGUGUCUGUCAGCGUAGUGGUGUCCAGAGCAUGGAGGCGCUACCAGGAGACAGGCCAGUACAUCAGGAGACGUGGAGGAGGCCGUAGGAGGGCAACAACCCAGCAGCAGGACCGCUACCUCCGCCUUUGUGCAAGGAGGAGCACAGCCAGAGCCCUGCAAAAUGACUUCCAGCAGGCCAAAAAUGUGUAUGUGUCUGCUCAAACGGUCAGAAACAGACUCCAUGAGGGUGGUAUGAGGGCCCGAUGUCCACAGGUGGGGUUGUGCUUACAGCCCAACACCAUGCAGGUCGUUUGGCAUUUGCCAGAGAACACCAAGAUUGGCAAAUUCGCCACUGGCGCCUGUGCUCUUCACAGAUGAAAGCAGGUUCACACUGAGAACAUGUGACAGACGUGACAGAGUCUGGAGACGCCGUGGAGAACGUUCUGCUGCCUGCAACAUCCUCCAGCAUGACCGGUUUGGCGGUGGGUCAGUCAUGGUGUGGGGUGGCAUUUCUUUGGGGGGCCGCACAACCCUGCAUGUGCUCGCCAGAGGUAGCUUGACUGCCAUUAGGUACCGGGAUGAGAUCCUCACAUCCCUUGUGAGACCAUAUGCUGGUGCGGUUGGCCCUGGGUUCCUCCUAAUGCAAGUCAAUGCUAGAUCUCAUGUGGCUGGAGUGUGUCAGCAGUUCCUGCAAGAGGAAGGCAUUGAUGCUAUGAACUGGCCCGCCUGUUCCCCAGACCUGAAUCCAAUUGAGCACAUCUGGGACAUCAUGUCUCGCUCCAUCCAUCAAUGCCACGUUGCACCACAGACUGUCCAGGAGUUGGCGGAUGCUUUAGUCCAGGUCUGGGAGGAGAUCCCUCAGGAGACCAUCCGCCACCUCAUCAGGAGCAUGCCCAGGCAUUGUAGGGAGGUCAUACAGGCACGUGGAGGCCACACACACUACUGAGCCUCAUUUUGACUUGUUUUAAGGACAUUACAUCAAAGUUGGAUCAGCCUGUAGUGUGGUUUUCCACUUUAAUUUUGAGUGUCACUCCAAAUCCAGACCUCCAUGGGUUGUUAAAUUUGAUCUCCAUUGAUAAUUUUUGUGUGAUUUUGUUGUCAGCACAUUCAACUAUGUAAAGAAAAAAGUAUUUAAUAAUGUUUCAUUCAUUCAGAUCUAGGAUGUGUUAUUUUAGUGUUCCCUUUAUUUUUUUUAGCAGUGUACUUCUCUUUAAUGCAACCGCUGUGUCAGAUUACCCCCAAAAAUACGGAAAAAGCAAACCAUGUAAUAAUCUGAGCACGGCGCUCAGAGACCAACACAACCCAAAAGAUAUCCGCCAUGUUGGAGUCAACAGAAGUCAGAAAUAGCAUUAUAAAUAUUCACUUACCUUUGAUGAUCUUCAUCAGAAUGCACUCCCAGGAAUCCCAGUUCCACAAUAAAUGUUUGAUUUGUUCCAUAAAGUCCAUCAUUUAUGUCCAAAUAACUCAUUUUGGUUCGCGCGUUCAGUACACAAUCUAAACUCACGACACGCGGGCAGGUUCAGGCAAAAGUUCAGACGAAAAGUCAUAUUACAGUUUGUGGAAACAUGUCAAACGAAGUAUAAAAUCAAUCUUUAGGAUGUUUUUAACAUAAAUCUUCAAUAAUGUUCCAACCGGAAAAUUCCUUUUUCUGUAGAAAAGCAAUGGAACUCUCACAUAAACGCGAAUCACGAGCCCAUGGCACUCUGCCAGACACCUGGCUCAAUCCCCUCUCAUUCCCCGCUCUUUCACAGUAGAAGCCUCAAACAAGGUUUUAAAGACUGUUGACAUCUAGUGGAAGCCGUAUGAAGUGCAAAAUGACCCCAUAGACACUGUAUAUUCGAUAGGCCAAGAGUAGAAAAACUACAAACCUCAGAUUUCCCACUUCCUGGUUGGAUUUUUCUCAGGUUUUUGCCUGUCAUAUGAGUUCUGUUAUACUCACAUACAUCAUUCAAACAAUUUUAGAAACUUCCAAGUGUUUUCUAUCAAAAUAUAAUAAUAAUGUGCAUAUAUUAGCAACUGGGACUGUAGUAGGCAGUUUACUCUGGGCACGCUUUUCAUCUAAACCUGAAAAUGCUGCCCACUGCUCACUGAAAAAAAACCUGUCUGUAAGGGACACAGUGGGAAAAUCUGGGAAUAAUUGAAAUUACACGUUUAUGACAAUUUCCAAUUAUUAUUCUAUAGUUUGGGUAGCACCGGUGAAUAAAGUAAGAAGGUAAUAAUUUAAAACAGCCUGUUUCCAUUACGUGGAACUGUGUCCAGAAUUUAAGUAGAUCCAAGUAAAUGUUUUUAGUCACGAAUAUUGAGCUGAUAAGCCAGCACCAACUUUUUAAGGUCCUAGUAGAUUUGUUAAACAACAGGUUCCUUAUUUUGACUAUUUUAUGUCCCAGGGACAGUUUGUACAGAACUGUAUGUCAACGCAACAGGUCAAAAUGACAAUGGUUACAAGAGACAGGCUCUGGGAUUUUUAACUUUAGAAGAGGCCCAUUCAGCUUGACUGCGAGCUAAGGCCUGGCCAUUUUGUUUGUUUUUACCCUACAAGUUUUACCACACACAAGCCAGCACCCACACAACCCACUUGUUAAUUAAUAUUUGUUAGUGGUUUGUACUCUGAUUUAUUGUGUGGGGUCUUUUUAUUUUAGUUUUAGUGGUUUUUCGCGGGUUAGAAAUUAUGCAGCUUAAAGGGUACACAAAUAAACAUUUUGGAAGUUAAACUUUUCAUAGUUCUGGUUGCACACUUAAAUGAUCUUGAUAUGAAAUGUACUGAAAAACUAAACCUGGUACACAGAAUGUUUGAAAUAUCUUUAUCUUUAAAUAAUGUCUGAGGUACAGGAGAAACAAACACUCACUUAAUGGGUUUGAAUGACCUCUGACCUCACUUUCUGGUGAAGCCUGAUCACCCUCACUAGAACGACUGGAGACAUUGGGUGACAUUUAAAUGUACUAUGGAAAUAAUAAUAAUAAUUAAGAGGAAGUUUUAUAAUUUAUCAUCAACAGUCCUGUGUGUGAUUCAGAACACAAGAAGGAGAGAGAGAGUGUGCUGCCCCUGAAUGAGGGACAUCUGUCUCUAGUCUAUUUUUAAUUAAGUUAAGAUGGAGUCAUCAAGGGAAAAGGCAGUGUUGUUUUUUUUGGACGCAUGAAUCACGAUGUGAGUCGUGUCCAAAGGGGGAAUUACCAGUCCCCUGUGGCCCUUUGGUAAAUAUGCAAAUAGAUUUUCUUCACAUGCCUGGUUGUAAAAGGAAAAAAUGUGUUGGUAAUGGUUGACAGUUACCCAAAUGGAUUGAAGUUUUCCCCACAUCAAGUGAUAUGUAUAUUGCUGUUGUUUUUGUUUUCUUUGUUUUUUGUCUUGCUUCAAUAACAAAUUUCACCAGAUUGGGUCUGCUGGAUGGUCGGGAUUUCUGCCUAAGGAUUAGCCCUCAACUCCCUGAUCCUGUAACUCUGUAGUGAGAUCGCCAAGAUAAGGGAGUAUAAACCAAUUUGAAAAAAAAAAGUAAAACGGUGUUAUUUUCUUUGACAUUUGACACUCAAUUCAUAUUUGGUAGCAUUGCCUUUAAAUUGCUUAACUUGGGUCAAACGUUUUGGGUAGCCUUCCACAAGCUUCCCACAAUAAAUUGGGUGAAUUGUGGCCCAUUCCUCCUGACAGAGCUGGUGUAACUGAGUUAGGUUUGUUGGCCUCCUUGCUCACACAUGCUUUUUCAAUUCUGCCCACAGAUUUUCUAUAGGAUUGAAGUCAGGGCUUUGUGAGGGCCACUCCAAUACCUUGACUUUGUUGUCCUUAAGGCAUUUUGCCACAACUUUGGAAGUAUGCUUGGGGUCAUUGUUCAUUUGGAAGAUCCAUUUGUGACCCAGCUUUAACUUCCUGACUGAUGUCUUGAGAUGUUGCUUCAAUAUAUCCACAUAAUAUUCCUUCCUCAUAAUGCCAUCUAUUUUGUGAAGUGCGCAAGUCCCUCCUGCAGCAUAGCACCCCCACAAAAUGAUGCUGCUACCCCCGUGCUUCACGGUUGGGAUGGUGUUCUUCAGCUUGCAAGCAUCCCCCUUUUUCCUCCAAACAUAACGAUGGCCGUUAUGGCCAAACAGUUCUAUUUUUGUUUUAUCAGACCAAAGGACAUUUCUCCAAAAAGUACGAUCUUUGUCCCCAUGUUCAGUUGCAAACCGUAGUCUGGCUUUUUUAUGGUGGUUUUGGAGCAGUGGCUUCUUCCUUGCUGAGUGGCCAUUCAGGCUAUGUCGAUAUAGGACUCGUUUUACUGUGGAUAUAGAUACUUUUGUACCUGUUUCCUGCAGCAUCUUCACAAGGUCCUUUGCUGCUGUUCUGGGAUUGAUUUGCACUUUUCGCACCAAAUUACGUAAAUCUCUAGGAGACAGAACACGUCUCCUUCCUGAGCGGUAUGACGGAUGCGUGGUCCCAUGGUGUUUAUACUUGCGUACUAUUGCUUGUACAGAUGAACGUGGUACCUUCAGGCGUUUGGAAAUUGCUCCCAAGGAUGAACCAGAAUUGUGGAGGUUUACAAUUUAUUUUCUGAGGUUUUGGCUAAUUUCUUUUGAUUUUUCAUUGAUGUCAAACAAAUAGGCACUGAGUUUGAAGGUAGGCCUUGAAAUACAUCCACAGGUACACCUCCAAUUGACUCAAAUGAUGUCAAUUAGUCUAUUAGAUGCUUCUAAAGCAUGACAUAAUUUUCUGAAAAUUUCCAAUCCGUUUAAAGGCACAGUCAACUUAGUGUAUGUAAAUUUCUGACCCACUGGAAUUAUGAUACAGUGAAUUAAAAGUGAAAUAAUCCGUCUGUAAACUAUUGUUGGAAAAAUGACUUGUGUCAUGCACAAAGUAGAUGUCCUAACCGACUUGCCAAAACUAUAGUUUGCUGACAAGAAAUGUGUGAAGUUUUAAUGACUCCAACCUAAGUGUAAGUAAACUUCUGACUUCAACUGUAUGAAGCGAAGGUUAAGUUAAAACAUUCUACUGCAAUGGUUUUAAAAGUACAACCCAGAAAGAAGGGUUUGAAAUGAUAAAGUGUCUGGUUUAAUGUGUUGAUUUCCCUUACUUUAUUAUAAAUAUGAUAUAGAAGCUCAAAUCUAAUGCUUACCUUAAAAUGUAACGAUUAUUGUCCCACAAGUGAUAAUGUGAUAGACAUUUUUAAGUGUGUGCUUUUCUAAUAACCAAUUUCUUGGUUCAUGCAAGUGACUGGUUGAACGAAUCCCCACUAUCAGUAUCUGAAUUUGGCAGUACCCCCAGAACCUUGUUUAGAGAAAGGGAUCUCUCAGUUUCAACGUUUCAGCUUAGAGAGAAGAAGUCUCAUGAGGUAUUGGUCUGUCACAUGCAUGAAAAUAAACAAUGAUUCAUUUAAGAUUGAC